rnacentral:rRNA from 1 species
UACGUAGGGUGCGAGCGUUAAUCGGAAUUACUGGGCGUAAAGCGUGCGCAGGCGGUUCGUUAAGUCCGAUGUGAAAGCCCCGAGCUUAACUUGGGAAUGGCAUUGGAAACUGUCGGGCUGGAGUCCGGAAGAGGCGAGUGGAAUUCCUGGUGUAGCGGUGAAAUGCGCAGAUAUCAGGAGGAACACCAAUGGCGAAGGCAGCUCGCUGGGACGGUACUGACGCUGAGACGCGAAAGCGUGGGGAGCAAACAGG